rnacentral:piRNA from 1 species
UUCUGCCAAUAAAUGUUAUGA